rnacentral:rRNA from 1 species
AUACGAAAGGUGCAAGCGUUGUUCGGAUUUACUGGGCGUAAAGAGAUCGUAGGUGGUUUGUUAAGUUGGAUGUGAAAUCCCGGGGCUCAACCUCGGGACUGCAUCCAAAACUGGCGGACUUGAGUUCGGGAGGGGUAAGCGGAAUUCCGUGUGUAGCAGUGAAAUGCGUAGAUAUACGGAGGAACACCUGAGGCGAAGGCGGCUUACUGGACCGAUACUGACACUGAGGAUCGAAAGCGUGGGUAGCAAACAGGAUUAGAAACCCCAGUAGUCC